AGACGAACCGGACAAACGUUAUUCGGAAUUACUGGGCUUAAAGGGUGCGUAGGCGGUGCGGUCAGUCGGGUGUGAAAUCCCUCGGCUCAACCGAGGAACUGCGCCCGAUACUGCCGUGCUUGAGGGAGGCAGAGGUGAGCGGAACAGAUGGUGGAGCGGUGAAAUGCGUUGAUAUCAUCUGGAACACCAGUGGCGAAAGCGGCUCACUAGGCGCCACCUGACGCUGAGGUACGAAAGCGUGGGGAGCGAACCGGAUUAGAAACCCCAGUAGUCC
rnacentral:rRNA from 1 species